CGCCGCUCGAGUCGGUUUCGUUCUGCGCUCGCCUGGGGUAGCGACGGGACGGAGGCUACGGUGCUGCGCUCGGGUCCUGCACGAUGUCUCCCGCGGUGUGGGGGCUGGCGCUGGCCGCGCUGCUGGUGCUGAGCCGCGAUUGGGGCUGCGCGCAGGUGGCCGGGACCAGCGGGGCGCGGAAGCCCAGCGUGGUGCUGAUCCUCACCGAUGACCAGGAUGUCUGCCUGGGCGGCAUGACACCGCUAAAGAAGACCAGUGCCCUUAUUGCAGAUAUGGGGAUAAGCUUCUCAAAUGCAUAUGUGCCCAGUGCAUUGUGCUGUCCCAGCAGAGCUAGUAUCUUAACAGGGAAGUACCCACAUAAUCAUCAUGUUGUCAAUAACACUCUGGAGGGAAACUGCAGCAGCAAAUCAUGGCAGAAAAUACAGGAACCAUAUACUUUCCCAGCUCUCCUCAAGUCCAUGUGUGGCUAUCAAACAUUCUUUGCUGGGAAGUAUUUAAAUGAGUAUGGAGCAGAAGAUGCAGGGGGAAUAGGCCAUGUUCCUCCUGGAUGGAGUUUUUGGUAUGCUUUGGAAAAAAAUUCAAAAUACUAUAAUUACACUCUUUCAGUAAAUGGAAAAGCACGAAGGCAUGGUGAGAAUUACAGUGCAGAUUACCUGACAGAUGUACUGGCUAAUAUGUCCUUGGAUUUCUUGGAAUAUAAAUCUAACUUUGAACCCUUCUUCAUGAUGAUCUCCACUCCAGCACCACACUCUCCCUGGAUACCUGCUCCUCAAUAUAAAAAGAGCUUCCAGAAUGUCAGUGCACCAAGAAAUGGCAAUUUUAACAUUCAUGGAAAGGACAAGCAUUGGCUAAUCAGGCAAGCAAAGACUCCAAUGACUAAUUCUUCAAUACAGUUUCUAGACGAUGCUUUUAGAAAAAGAUGGCAAACACUACUGUCAGUAGAUGAUCUGAUAGAGAAACUGGUGAAGAAACUGGAAUUGCUUGGAGAGCUAGAUAAUACUUACAUUUUUUAUACCUCAGACAAUGGCUUCCAUACUGGACAAUUUUCUUUGCCAAUAGACAAACGGCAGCUCUAUGAGUUUGACAUUAAAGUUCCAUUGCUAGUUCGAGGACCAGGCAUCAAACCAAACCAGACAAACAAGAUGCUGGUUGCAAACAUUGAUUUGGGUCCCACUAUUUUGGAUAUCGCAGGGUUUGACAUAAACAAGACACAGAUGGAUGGGAUGUCACUGUUGCCGCUUCUGAGAGGAGACAAAAAUGUGACCUGGAGAUCAGAUGUCUUGAUUGAGUACCAAGGAGAAGGACAUAACAGCAGCGAUCCUACCUGCCCUGCCCUGGGACCUGGUGUUACUCAUUGUUUUCCAGACUGUGUGUGUGAAGAUUCGUAUAACAAUACAUAUGCUUGUGUGAGGACACUGUCAACUUCUUGGGAUCUGCAGUACUGUGAAUUUGAUGACCGGGAGGUGUUUGUUGAAGUCUACAAUUUGACUGCAGACCCACACCAGCUUACUAACAUUGCUAAAACAAUAGAUCAAGAAAUUUUAGAGAAGAUGAACUAUCGACUAAUGAUGUUGCAGUCCUGCUCAGGAGCAACUUGUCGCACACCAGGCGUCUUUGACCCAGGGUACAGAUUUGACCCACGCCUAAUGUUCAGUCAUGGUAUUUGGGCUCACAAACUUUCCACACGGUCUCUGUAACAGCAUUUAUCAGCCUCUUCAGUUGGCUUCCUGUGUUCAUUUCUUCAGAGGGACACCAGCAGAAACCAAAAAGUACAUCCCAUUUGACAGCUUCUUGAAUCUGGUAAAAGCAACACUUAUGAACAUGGUAUUGACUACAUUUUACUUCAGUAUUGACAAACUUGACCAGCUGCUACUCAUCCUUCUUCCUUGUGUGACUUCCAACAGGAGGUAAACUUGAUUCCAUCCAUAAUCAUAUGGUGAACAGAUUUAAUUUUGCCUCCCAAAUCAGAAGAUAUUUAUUGUUGAUCCAGAGGCAUUAGAGAUGCCUGGGGAAAACUAACAGCUGCUGAAAAGGACCCUAAAACUAAGGGAACAUAUGAGAUGCUGUUUCUCUGAAUGCAUAUUACAACAGCCCACUACUUUCAGUCUCCUCCCAUUAAAUUACUUGGAUCCUUUGAAAUAUUCCAUUUUCUUUAUCUACCAUAAUUAUGAUUUUCAACUUAUUUUCUCCUCCAUUCACCAAAACAUCUUAUCCCACUUCAAUGUCUUUGAGCCUCUGGUCUCUUCUACAAACACCUCUCCUUCCUAAUCAGUGUGUUCCCUGGCAUCUUACCUUUUUCCUUACCCAUCUGUUAGGUCCUGCAACGAGUUUUUGCUCCUAUUCUUUGACCAAGCCAAAAGUGAUCUAAACGCUCAUUUAACAAUAUUCGUCUAACACUAGUACACUUAGAUUUGUGUUCUGCUUUUUAGUUAAACUUGCUGGGGGCUGUACUUAAUUGUAGGUUGUGAAGGGUCUGGUGAGAAAAAUCUUCAGUCAGUGAUGUAUGCAUUAAACUUUGAGCAUCUAUGUCCAAACUAUUCUAGCUGGUCAUAGAAUUGAAGUUCCAGUGUGUAUGUUUACUAAGUGUCAGCAAUGCAAUGGUUGUCAUUGUCUGCAACAUUGUGGUGGUGGUGGUCUUAAGUAGACAUUUCUCUUUUUGUAGAAAAAGCUAGUAUAUAUUCAUGACCAAAAGUAUAAUUUGAUAUAACCAUGUUUCCUGAUAUGGCAUACUUGGGUAGCGUGAAGAAUUUUACUCUUUAAUGAUAACUAUGUAUCUUGCAUAUUCUACCUCUACAGUUCAUUGACAUGGAAAUUGAUUAUGUAGAAUAUCCAGUAAGUCUGAUCAGUGGGAAGAAUUUCACCCUAAUUUAACAUGUUGUUAGUAUUUUCAUGCAGAAAACAUACCGGUCAGUCAUUUCAGUUGCAGCCAGACUUGUUCCCUUACAUUGCCUUUUUCUCAACUGACCAUGAGUCUACCACACCCACAUCUGAAGUCUGCCAGUUAAGAAAUAAUGAUUUACCACAGAAAACCUUCACCUCACUACAUUCUACUCAUCAGUCCUGCUGUGACUUAGCAAAAAUGCAAACACUUCUGAAGAAACGUGCACUGGAAGUGCAUUUUAAGCUUAGCUGAAGGAAGAACAGUAACAAUCAACUGCUGCCCUGUUUUUGUUCUGAUUUAACUGUUCAGUGUUUUUUCACAGGAUGCAAUAAAUCCUAUGGAUAUUUUCACACUCCUGAAUGGUCAAUAUUCACUUUUUCUUGAUAACUGGAAUAGCAUAUUAUUUCAGUUACCUUACAGCUAGAUCGAAUUCCAGAACACAAGUGGUUCAAAAAUUGAGCCUUCCUAUGUUCCAUUCAAUAACUGGUUGAACAUGGCUGUGUCCACUUGCACCUUAUUACUUGAGCCAUUUAAUUGUUGAAAAUGAAUAGAAGCCUUACUAAGUACUAGUCUCUUUCAUAUAAAAUGUGAUUACAGGUCAUUUUUAAAUGUAAACUCUGUUUCUCAUGAUAGUCUAAUCUGAUUAAGCAGAUACUGUAUUCUGCAAAACAUUGCAGAAGCAAAACUGUUGCAUCUAUUAACACAAAUAUCCUUACUCACUUAACUGAAAAUAUUGUCGCUUUAGCAUGAGUGAAGAUAAGUGCUUAUAGGGCCAGAGAAUUGACUUCUUGUAUGUCAGGGAGUAAAUGUUGCUUUCACAGAUUGUCCCCUAGAGUGCUGAUCUUAAAUCAUCUAUAGUAGGGGCAGUAGUCUCAAAGACUAAAAUAACUUGGUAAAGUCUAAAUCUCUUUAAAUUGAUCCACUACACAAGGCAAAUACAGACAUUUGGUUGUAAUGCUGCUGAAUCAAUGAAGAUGGCUGUUAAAUUAUUUUUUAAUGUGCAACUUUAUAUGUAUUCCUAAUUUGUUCUUUUUGUACAGUGUCUGACUGUACUUCACUGUGGACUUACUAAUUUCUGCUCUCUGUUGUACCAUAACUGUUUUGUUUAGAAAGUGCCCUUCAAAGGACCCUGUUCACUGCUGCACCUUUUGAAAAUAAAAAUUGUCUACUAUAAACCUCUCUCAUACCUUUUUAUGGUGAACUGAAAUUGUGAACAUCUUGAAGGGA